UACGUAGGGUGCGAGCGUUGUCCGGAAUUAUUGGGCGUAAAGGGCUCGUAGGCGGUUUGUCGCGUCGGGAGUGAAAAACCUUGGGCUUAACUCAGGGCUUGCUUUCGAUACGGGCAGACUAAAGGUAUGCAGGGGAGAACGGAAUUCCUGGUGUAGCGGUGAAAUGCGCAGAUAUCAGGAGGAACACCGGUGGCGAAGGCGGUUCUCUGGGCAUGAUCUGACGCUGAGGAGCGAAAGUGUGGGGGAGCGAACAGG
rnacentral:rRNA from 1 species